AACAACUAUUUCACUGUCCAGAGUUUCAGUUCUCUUUCGUUUAUGGUAUAAUUUUUCAUCUUCGCUCUUGUCCAAAUUUACAUCAAUUUGGAGACACCUUGACUCUUCCUUAGCAGCAGAGGAAUCAUCCGUUGGCUGCAACAUUCUGCUAUGAAAAAAAAAUUAAAUAAUAAAUUAAGAGCAAUUUUGUGCAAAUCAAAGGUGGUGUUUUUAGAAUUCUUCAAUUGAGUGCCAUGUCUAUCGAAUGAAAUACAUUGCUGCUAUUUUUUUUACAAAAACUAAAAACAAGUCUGAAAAAAAAGCGUAAUUUUAGAUAUAAAAUACUCAUUACGUACCUGGAGAAUCCGCGACAACAAGUCUGAGGAUGAAAUAAAGAUAAACUCAAAAUUCAA